rnacentral:rRNA from 1 species
UUAGAGUUUGAUCCUGGCUCAGAACGAAUUCUGGGGGCGUGGAUAAGACAUGCAAGUCGAACGAGAGAAUUGCUAGCUUGCUAAUAAUUCUCUAGUGGCGCACGGGUGAGUAACACGUGAGUAACCUGCCCCCGAGAGCGGGAUAGCCCUGGGAAACUGGGAUUAAUACCGCAUAGUAUCGAAAGAUUAAAGCAGCAAUGCGCUUGGGGAUGGGCUCGCGGCCUAUUAGUUAGUUGGUGAGGUAACGGCUCACCAAGGCGAUGACGGGUAGCCGGUCUGAGAGGAUGUCCGGCCACACUGGAACUGAGACACGGUCCAGACACCUACGGGUGGCAGCAGUCGAGAAUCAUUCACAAUGGGGGAAACCCUGAUGGUGUGACGCCGCGUGGGGGAAUGAAGGUCUUCGGAUUGUAAACCCCUGUCAUGUGGGAGCAAAUUAAAAAGAUAGUACCACAAGAGGAAGAGACGGCUAACUCUGUGCCAGCAGCCGCGGUAAUACAGAGGUCUCAAGCGUUGUUCGGAAUCACUGGGCGUAAAGCGUGCGUAGGCUGUUUCGUAAGUCGUGUGUGAAAGGCGCGGGCUCAACCCGCGGACGGCACAUGAUACUGCGAGACUAGAGUAAUGGAGGGGGAACCCGGAAUUCUCGGUGUAGCAGUGAAAUGCGUAGAUAUCGAGAGGAACACUCGUGGCGAAGGCGGGUUCCUGGACAUUAACUGACGCUGAGGCACGAAGGCCAGGGGAGCGAAAGGGAUUAGAUACCCCUGUAGUCCUGGCAGUAAACGGUGCACGCUUGGUGUGCGGGGAAUCGACCCCCUGCGUGCCGGAGCUAACGCGUUAAGCGUGCCGCCUGGGGAGUACGGUCGCAAGAUUAAAACUCAAAGAAAUUGACGGGGACCCGCACAAGCGGUGGAGUAUGUGGCUUAAUUCGAUGCAACGCGAAGAACCUUACCUGGGCUUGACAUGUAAUGAACAACAUGUGAAAGCAUGCGACUCUUCGGAGGCGUUACACAGGUGCUGCAUGGCCGUCGUCAGCUCGUGUCGUGAGAUGUUUGGUUAAGUCCAGCAACGAGCGCAACCCCUGUUGCCAGUUACCAGCACGUGAAGGUGGGGACUCUGGCGAGACUGCCCAGAUCAACUGGGAGGAAGGUGGGGACGACGUCAGGUCAGUAUGGCCCUUAUGCCCAGGGCUGCACACGUACUACAAUGCCCAGUACAGAGGGGGCCGAAGCCGCGAGGCGGAGGAAAUCCUGAAAACUGGGCCCAGUUCGGACUGUAGGCUGCAACCCGCCUACACGAAGCCGGAAUCGCUAGUAAUGGCGCAUCAGCUACGGCGCCGUGAAUCCGUUCCCGGGUCUUGCCCACAACGCCCGUCA